rnacentral:rRNA from 1 species
GACGAACGCUGGCGGCGUGCUUAACACAUGCAAGUCGAACGAUGAAGCUGGAGCUUGCUCUGGUGGAUUAGUGGCGAACGGGUGAGUAACACGUGAGUAACCUGCCCUGGACUCUGGGAUAACCCCGAGAAAUCGAAGCUAAUACCGGAUAGGACCUUGCACCGCAUGGUGUGGGGUGGAAAGUUUUUCGGGCUGGGAUGGACUCGCGGCCUAUCAGCUUGUUGGUGAGGUAAUGGCUCACCAAGGCGUCGACGGGUAGCCGGCCUGAGAGGGUGACCGGCCACACUGGGACUGAGACACGGCCCAGACUCCUACGGGAGGCAGCAGUGGGGAAUAUUGCACAAUGGGCGCAAGCCUGAUGCAGCAACGCCGCGUGCGGGAUGACGGCCUUCGGGUUGUAAACCGCUUUUAGUAAGGAAGAAGGGGCUUCGGCCUUGACGGUACUUGCAGAAAAAGGACCGGCUAACUCCGUGCCAGCCGCCGCGGUAACAC